GCCCGGUAGCUAAAUGCGGAAGAGAUAAGUGCUGAAAGCAUCUAAGCACGAAACUUGCCCCGAGAUGAGUUCUCCCUGAGACUUAGAGUCUCCUGAAGGAACGUUGAAGACGACGACGUUGAUAGGCCGGGUGUGUAAGCGCAGCGAUGCGUUGAGCUAACCGGUACUAAUGAACCGUGAGGCUUAACCUUACAACGCCGAAG
rnacentral:rRNA from 3 species